rnacentral:lncRNA from 1 species
GCAGAUUGCGGGAGUCCUGGUCCCGCGGCGGCUACCGCGCCGGGGCCAACCCGGGGACCCGCUGCCGGCCGAGCCCGCUCCGGCUCUGAGAGGCGGGCUCCAGCCGCGGCUCGAGCGCACUCGCCAAGCCCCGGUGCCCAGGUGGGAUGGAAGAAGGCUGUCAGAUUUCCAUCCCGUCGUGGACCAAGUAUCAUUCAUCUUGUAGCCUCGUUGCCCAACACAGAUCCUGGCAUCCCAGAAAUGGCUGGUGAAGGAACUGAACGCUCCGUGGAACCGUACGAAGCAAGACUGUUACAGCUGCCCAGAUUUUAAAUGCAGUAAAGAUUGAUAAGGAUUCGGUGUGAAUGUGUGAUGUCUCCUAAUUAACUUUUAAGAGUUUAUUUAACUACACACUGGAAGAAUCCAGACAAUUCUUCCUUACCCUCUCAACACACACCAACCCCACUCUCCAGUUAACCACUGUGCAUCAUUGCAGACCUUUGCCCUUUACAGGCAAAGAUGUGUAAAAAUGAAUCAUAUGCUUACUGUUAUAUCUUGUUCUUUGCCCCCAUCAUAAACGUCAGAUCUCAGAACACAGCACAAGCUCAUUCUUAAUGACUGCAUAGCCCUGAUGUUUUUACUUUUAAGUAGAAUGAAUUUUGGCAGUUCUUUAGAAGACGUUGUAUACCCCUUGGAGACUAAAUUUUGCUUUCUGAGUUACCUUGAAAGAUAAGGUGAAGUAAUUUUCUCCACCAAGGUAAAUAAGAUUACAAGUAUGAGAAUAAAAUGUACUCCUUCUCCAGGUCACUUCAAGCCUCACCUGUUCCUAACUCAGGUAGAUUCAGGGAGAGGGCUGCGGCAUGAUAGUAGCUCUUACUAUUGUAAAACUGACACCAGUGAUCUCAGUGCAGCAAAGGAGCUUGGGAGUUAGCUGAGCACCGUCUCAGAAGUGUGUGGAAAAAUGAAACCUGGAAACCCUAGCAAAAUGUCAGAAGGCAGUAAGCCCCAUUUCAGACACAUCUAAAACCCUUGGAAAACAAAUGUGCAGCAUAUCCCCCUGUAACAAGAGGAAAAGGAAAACUAUGAGGACUCAGGGGAUACCAGCAUAGUGGAACGCAGUGAGGAAAUGCCCAAUACAUUCAGCAUAAAAUGUGGGUAUCUAGGAUGAACUAGAAAUGAGUAAGCUGUGAGCUCACACAGGUGAUAUAGCUUAUCUGCUGAUCCUUAAUUUGGCUUCUCUCACACCACAGCCUUCUGACAUUAGCAGGAUUAGAAGCUGCCAGCAUCUGUCCUCCAAAAUCAUCAGGUUAUGACAUAUCUGUGUACUGACCAAUAGGAUGAAGGGUCAGACCACUGCCAACUAAAGAUCUCUCGCAGUUCUAACAUUCUGUGACCCUGGGCAUCCAAAGCAUUAGAUGCUUUUAUUUAUAUAAAAUAAACCACUACUGAGUUGUUUUCUUCUCUCCUCCAUGUCUGCCCGUCUUUCCAUCUGUGGAAUGAAUGAAUUUUGAUAUAGAAUUUCAUUGAUUUGACUCUCACUGCUAUUCAGAUUUUGUACUUGGGACUCUUGAAUAAAAAAACUGAAUAAUUUUUCAAAGCCAGGGUUCAAGAAAGAACUUCAUAAUACCUUCAGUUUCUACGUCCAAAAAUUCAUUCUUGAAUGUUAAAACCUUUUUUAAUUGUGAUUAAUUCUUGUUUUAUAGGUCUUUUACCUUAACUGUUAAAAGAUCAUGUGCUUAACUCCUC